rnacentral:rRNA from 1 species
UAACGGCCCACCAAGGCUUUGAUCGGUAGCCGGCCUGAGAGGGCGCACGGCCACACUGGAACUGAAAUAUGGUCCAGACUCCUACGGGAGGCAGCAGUGGGGAAUUUUGCGCAAUGGGGGAAACCCUGACGCAGCAACGCCGCGUGGAGGAUGAAGUCCCUUCGGAUGUAAACUCCUUUCGACCGGGAAGAUACUGACGGUACCGGUGGAAGAAGCACCGGCUAACUCUGUGCCAGCAGCCGCGGUAAUACAGAGGGUGCGAGCGUUGUUCGGAAUUAUUGGGCGUAAAGGGCGCGUAGGCGGUCGGGUAAGUCACCUGUGAAAUCUCCUGGCUCAACUGGGAGUCUGCAGGCGAAACUGUUUGACUGGAGUAUGGGAGAGGUGCGUGGAAUUACCGGUGUAGCGGUGAAAUG